rnacentral:rRNA from 1 species
AUUGAACGCUGGCGGCAUGCCUUACACAUGCAAGUCGAACGGUAGCACGGGAGCAAUCCUGGUGGCGAGUGGCGAACGGGUGAGUAAUAUAUCGGAACGUGCCCGGUCGUGGGGGGAUAACGUAGCGAAAGCUACGCUAAUACCGCAUACGAUCUACGGAUGAAAGCGGGGGAUCGCAAGACCUCGCGCGAUUGGAGCGGCCGAUAUCAGAUUAGGUAGUUGGUGAGGUAAAGGCUCACCAAGCCGACGAUCUGUAGCUGGUCUGAGAGGACGACCAGCCACACUGGGACUGAGACACGGCCCAGACUCCUACGGGAGGCAGCAGUGGGGAAUUUUGGACAAUGGGCGCAAGCCUGAUCCAGCAAUGCCGCGUGCAGGAUGAAGGCUCGGUGUAACU